GAUGAACGCUGGCGGCGUGCCUAAUACAUGCAAGUCGAGCGAACAGAUAAGGAGCUUGCUCCUUUGACGUUAGCGGCGGACGGGUGAGUAACACGUGGAUAACCUACCUAUAAGACUGGGAUAACUUCGGGAAACCGGAGCUAAUACCGGAUAAUAUAUUGAACCGCAUGGUUCAAUAGUGAAAGGCGGCUUUGCUGUCACUUAUAGAUGGAUCCGCGCCGUAUUAGCUAGUUGGUAAGGUAACGGCUUACCAAGGCAACGAUACGUAGCCGACCUGAGAGGGUGAUCGGCCACACUGGAACUGAGACACGGUCCAGACUCCUACGGGAGGCAGCAGUAGGGAAUCUUCCGCAAUGGGCGAAAGCCUGACGGAGCAACGCCGCGUGAGUGAUGAAGGUCUUCGGAUCGUAAAACUCUGUUAUCAGGGAAGAACAAAUGUGUAAGUAACUGUGCACAUCUUGACGGUACCUAAUCAGAAAGCCACGGCUAACUACGUG
rnacentral:rRNA from 1 species